rnacentral:ncRNA from 2 species
UUAAAUAUUAAAGCGCCAGGACCGAUAUAAAUCGGUUGACGAGGUGGGGAGUUAUCGAAAGAUUCGGCGGGUGCUCCUCCGGCCGUUAGUGUUGCGGUCGUUAGCUCAUGCUACAAAAAACGCGGGUAACCGCGCAAAAAAAGGCUGAGCAUUCAGCGC